rnacentral:rRNA from 1 species
GAUGAACGCUGGCGGCGUGCUUAACACAUGCAAGUCGAACGGAAAGGCCCAAGCUUGCUUGGGUACUCGAGUGGCGAACGGGUGAGUAACACGUGGGUGAUCUGCCCUGCACUUCGGGAUAAGCCUGGGAAACUGGGUCUAAUACCGGAUUGGACCACAUUUUGGAUGGUGUGGUGGAAAGUUUUUCGGUGUGGGAUGAGCUCGCGGCCUAUCAGCUUGUUGGUGGGGUAAUGGCCUACCAAGGCGUCGACGGGUAGCCGGCCUGAGAGGGUGUACGGCCACAUUGGGACUGAGAUACGGCCCAGACUCCUACGGGAGGCAGCAGUGGGGAAUAUUGCACAAUGGGCGCAAGCCUGAUGCAGCGACGCCGCGUGGGGGAUGACGGCCUUCGGGUUGUAAACUCCUUUCGCUAGGGACGAAGCGCAAGUGACGGUACCUGGAGAAGAAGCACCGGCUAACUACGUG